UUUCUUUCGACUCGGCCAGGUCACCUCCAAAAUGUGGAGAAAUGGAUUCAUCCUCGCGGCUCCUGCGUGCGUCGGUCCACUCAGGGCGCAUGCGCGGAGCCGGCCCGGCGCCUGCUACGCGUGGGGCAGCGGGCUGUCCCGGACGGAGCUUCCUCGGUGUCUCCCAAGGCCGGCGACAGAGCCAGGCGGGGGAAAAGUUUGGGGAGAAGAGCCGAGGGCGGCGGGGAGGCGGCGGGGAGCCGACCCCGGGCCCCGGCGGCCGGAUGUCUCACCGGCCUCCCACUCGCUUUCUCGGAGCCGGGGGUGCGCGGGGUGCUGGGCUGCGCGCUCAGGGUCCGGGCCUUCCAGACAGCCCUGCAGGCCGGGACCCCAACCAGAAUCAGCGUCCUUGUCACCAGCAACGUUUUCCGUUUGAGAGAAGGAAGACAAAAUUCUCUCCCUGCUGUGGAGAAGGGAGGCCGCGCUGGAGCUGUGUCUAGUAGGAAGAAUGAACUGGAAACAGUUCUGGUGACCACGAAGGGACCUGAAGAAGACUUCCAUGACCCCGAGAAACCCUCAAGGCAUUCGCAUUGCAGGCACCACUGACGGGGCUCACCUGUAACCAGACAUGUGUGAAGAACAGCCUGGCCACUUGUCACACAGCCAGCUGGUUUUGGGGACAAGGAGACUGCUCAGAGGGAGGCUUUAUUAUGAAGAUAUCAACGGGGAGCGACGUAGAGGUUGAGACUCUCAGCACCGACUGCAGGACUUGGGGGGACGCAGGUCCGAUGUGAGGGUCUGGGGCAGGCGAGGUACUUUACCCAAGACCAUGAGCGCACCCUCUUACUGUGGGCCUUCCGGGACCGUCUCCCAGCCAUCUUCGAUGGCUGGAGCGCUUGUCCCAUGCUGGCAGUCUUAAGAAGGGCCCGGAGCAAGAAGUUACGGUCAGCGCUGUUCUGGGCGAAGGACUCAGGCAAAGAGCCCUUAGGGCACCAGAGUCUCCUCACCCUUCAGUGCUGCUCGGGACUGUGUCCUGUGAAAGUUGCACCAUCGAGGCCAUCAUGGUGGUCACAGAUGUCACCGGAGUGUGCAGAGAGUAUCGGUUAUUCAGGGAGGAGAGAGCGUGAGCUCGUCUUAGCCUGCACAACCAAUUACUAGGAUUCUAGGGCCUGUUUCUUUUUUUUAUCUGGUAAAUACUGUAUGUAAGGCCAAAGACGGGUUAUUUUUCACUUCGCAGGGGUGUCUUCCUCACGGAGCACCAGAGGUCACAAGGUCUGAGUUCUACCCUCUUCGCAUUGAGCCCCAGCCUGUUUUGGCGUCCUAAUCUCGGUGAGUGUGCUGUGAGGAGCACGUGACCUCUUUGGGGUUUGUGGUGACCCGUGGGUCACUAGGGCAGCCACCGUUUUUUUAAGGCAGGCUUGUGGCAGAUGCAGUAAGGGACAGUUCCUGCUAGGUGGCGACUCCGUCCUUGGGAAUCCCCAGUGGUUCUGUUCCUUGUUUCUCGCAUGAUAAAGUAGGAGGAAAUCACUGGCCAAGUUGGUCAGAGGACUCUGAGAGCCAAGCCAGAGUUUGACUGCUGGGCACGAGCAGGACACCUAAAGGCUGCUUGAAGACUUCUCUUCUAAAAAUAAGACUCCCGAGAGAAGAUAGCCUGGGUCAUGGGAUAUGUUAGUUUGACACCAGGCCAUGUGCUAGCCCCGAGAAAAUUCCCACGCAGUGAAAAGCGUGGGGCUGACCCCAUGGCACAGUGGUAAAGUGCUGCUAAAAAAGAGCAGUUCCGCACGACAGCCACGGUUGAAGGAUCUGACCUGAUCAGCCUGAAACAGGCCAGGCGCAGGCGUGAAUGCCCGAGAUCCGACAGACUGGGGAGCUGGAGGAAGGGAGUCCCGCGUGACCAGACCCUGUGCAGGGUGCUCCUCUCUCAGGUGCACAAGCACUUUACCACGCAGUAAAGGAAAGAGUACAAACUACAGAAGCCUCGCGAAAACAUUGCACAGCCCAACCCCACGGCAUUUCCCUCUCCAGCCUUUAUCUCAGCUCCGACAGCCCCAAGAUCCAAGGUAAAAAUAGGAUCCUUGAUUUCUGAAGGACCAAGACCAUCUUCCGGCUACACCUGCCUUUGACUUGUUUUUGCAGCCACGGUUGGUGUCUAACUCUAGGACAUUUUCCUCACCCAUCAGAGAAAUGCUGUCCCCAUUGGCAGUCACUCCCCAUCACUCCUGCCCUGACAGACACCUGUCUCCUUCCUGUCCCUCUGGAGUCGCCUUUUCUGGACAUCUCCUUUAUCGUGGAGCUGAUCUAGAAGACUUUGUCUCUGGUCUUUGAGCCCUCUCGUCAUUCCCACCAGCCUGCGAGUUUCUGUGAU